CCGAGAUUGGGCCCUCCGCGCUCUGGCC
rnacentral:sRNA from 1 species